CCUACGGGAGGCAGCAGUGAGGAAUAUUGGUCAAUGGACGAGAGUCUGAACCAGCCAAGCAGCGUGAAGGAUGACUGCCCUCUGGGUUGUAAACUUCUUUUAUAAAGGAAUAAAACGAGGCACGUGUGCCCUUUUGCAUGUACUUUAUGAAUAAGCAUAGGCUAACCCCGUGCCAGCAGCCGCGGUAAUACGGAGGGUCCGAGCGUUAUCCGGAUUUAUUGGGUUUAAAGGGAGCGUAGAUGGGUUGUUAAGUCAGUUGUGAAAGUUGGGGGCGCAACCGUAACAUUGCAGUUGAUACUGGCAGUCUUGAGUACAGUAGAGGUAGGCGGAAUGCGUGGUGUAGCGGUGAAAUGCGUAGAUAUCACGAAGAACCCCGAUUGCGAAGGCAGCUUACUAGACUGUGACUGACAUUGAUGCUCGAAAGCGUGGGUAGCAAACAGGAUUAGAUACCCGGGUAGUC
rnacentral:rRNA from 1 species